rnacentral:rRNA from 1 species
CCUACGGGUGGCAGCAGUGAGGAAUAUUGGUCAAUGGGCGCGAGCCUGAACCAGCCAAGUCGCGUGAGGGAUGAAGGUUCUAUGGAUCGUAAACCUCUUUUAUAAGGGAAUAAAGUGUGGGACGUGUCCUAUUUUGUAUGUACCUUAUGAAUAAGGAUCGGCUAACUCCGUGCCAGCAGCCGCGGUAAUACGGAGGAUCCGAGCGUUAUCCGGAUUUAUUGGGUUUAAAGGGUGCGUAGGCGGGCUUAUAAGUCAGCGGUGAAAGUUUGUGGCUCAACCAUGGAAUUGCCGUUAAAACUGGGGGACUUGAGUAUGUUUGAGGCAGGCGGAAUGCGUGGUGUAGCGGUGAAAUGCUUAGAUAUCACACAGAACCCCGAUUGCGAAGGCAGCCUGCCAAGCCAUGACUGACGCUGAUGCACGAAAGCGUGGGGAUCAAACAGGAUUAGAUACCCUUGUAGUC